GGAAUCUUCCACAAUGGACGCAAGUCUGAUGGAGCAACGCCGCGUGAGUGAAGAAGGUCUUCGGAUCGUAAAACUCUGUUGUUAGAGAAGAACACGAGUGAGAGUAACUGUUCAUACGUUGACGGUAUUUAACCAGAAAGUCACGGCUAACUACGUGCCAG
rnacentral:rRNA from 1 species